rnacentral:rRNA from 1 species
UCUGCCUAUUAGUGGGGGACAACGUUUCGAAAGGAACGCUAAUACCGCAUACGUCCUACGGGAGAAAGCAGGGGACCUUCGGGCCUUGCGCUAAUAGAUGAGCCUAGGUCGGAUUAGCUAGUUGGUGAGGUAAAGGCUCACCAAGGCGACGAUCCGUAACUGGUCUGAGAGGAUGAUCAGUCACACUGGAACUGAGACACGGUGCCAGACUCCUACGGGAGGCAGCAGUGGGGAAUAUUGGACAAUGGGCGAAAGCCUGAUCCAGCCAUGCCGCGUGUGUGAAGAAGGUCUUCGGAUUGUAAAGCACUUUAAGUUGGGAGGAAGGGCAGUAAAUUAAUACUUUGCUGUUUUGACGUUACCGACA